rnacentral:rRNA from 1 species
AUUGAACGCUGGCGGAAUGCUUUACACAUGCAAGUCGAACGGCAGCACGGGGCAACCUGGUGGCGAGUGGCGAACGGGUGAGUAAUAUAUCGGAACGUGCCCAAUCGUGGGGGAUAACGUAGCGAAAGUUACGCUAAUACCGCAUACGAUCUACGGAUGAAAGCGGGGGAUCGCAAGACCUCGCGCGAAUGGAGCGGCCGAUAUCAGAUUAGGUAGUUGGUGGGGUAAAGGCUCACCAAGCCAACGAUCUGUAGCUGGUCUGAGAGGACGACCAGCCACACUGGAACUGAGACACGGUCCAGACUCCUACGGGAGGCAGCAGUGGGGAAUUUUGGACAAUGGGGGAAACCCUGAUCCAGCCAUGCCGCGUGCAGGAUGAAGGCCUUCGGGUUGUAAACCUCUUUCUAGCAGGGACGAAGGGUGGACUGACGGUACCGUGUAGAAGAAGCACCGGCCAACUACGUGCCAGCAGCCGCGGUAAGAGUCACGUCG